rnacentral:rRNA from 1 species
UACGAAGGGGGCUAGCGUUGUUCGGAAUCACUGGGCGUAAAGCGCACGUAGGCGGAUGUGCCAGUCGGGGGUGAAAUCCCCCGGCCCAACCGGGGAACUGCCGCCGAUACUGAUCGUCUCGAGGGAGGUAGGGGUGUGUGGAACUUCCGGUGGAGCGGUGAAAUGCGUAGAGAUCGGAAGGAACGCCGGCGGCGAAAGCGACACACUGGAUCUCUUCUGACGCUGAGGCACGAAAGCCAGGGGAGCAAACGGG